GAUCCUGGCUCAGAUUGAACGCUGGCGGCAGGCUUAACACAUGCAAGUCGAACGGUAACAGGGGAAAGCUUGCUUUCUUGCUGACGAGUGGCGGACGGGUGAGUAAUGCUUGGGAAUCUGGCUUAUGGAGGGGGAUAACGACGGGAAACUGUCGCUAAUACCGCGUAGAGUCGAGAGACGAAAGUGCGGGACCGCAAGGCCGCAUGCCAUGAGAUGAGCCCAAGUGGGAUUAGGUAGUUGGUGGGG
rnacentral:rRNA from 1 species